rnacentral:tRNA from 1 species
GGGCGCGUAGCUCAGCUGGUUAGAGCGCAUCAUUCACAUUGAUGAGGUCGGGGGUUCGAGCCCCUCCGCGCCCA